rnacentral:rRNA from 1 species
AACCCCUUGAGAGUGGCGAACGGGUGAGUAAUAUAUCGGAACGUGCCCAGUCGUGGGGGAUAACGUAGCGAAAGUUACGCUAAUACCGCAUACGAUCUACGGAUGAAAGCGGGGGAUCGCAAGACCUCGCGCGAUUGGAGCGGCCGAUAUCAGAUUAGGUAGUUGGUGAGGUAAAGGCUCACCAAGCCGACGAUCUGUAGCUGGUCUGAGAGGACGACCAGCCACACUGGGACUGAGACACGGCCCCAGACUCCUACGGGAGGCAGCAGUGGGGAAUUUUGGACAAUGGGCGCAAGCCUGAUCCAGCAAUGCCGCGUGCAGGAUGAAGGCCUUCGGGUUGUAAACUGCUUUUGUACGGAACGAAACGGUGAGCUCUAAUACAGUUUGCUAAUGACGGUACCGUAAGAAUAAGCACCGGCUAACUACGUG